GCUUGACCUAAGGGUAUUGACAGCAGCUGGUAUUGUGUCCUAUAUAAUUCUGAUGACAAAGUUUCAGUGAAAACUAAGUCCCGUUCUCUGGGCCCUGUGUAGUCCUAUGGCUAGGAAUCAGCCCAUAAGAGAGGUUGCCUGUCCUUCAGUUGGUCUUUCAUGCCACAAAGUGGGGUUUUGUUUCCUUUGUAUGUGUGUGUGUGUUUUGCAAGCUUAUUUUGUAACCAUCAUUCAUCCCAACUCUUCUGUUUUUUUCUCCUAGUUUUCAGGGACAAGAAGAAUGGCAAUGAAUUUUCUUAACACCCUUGGCCUAAGAUUUCUAGCUUAGAUUCUACCAUGAGAAGUGUCCUGUGACAUUCUGAAGAUACUUGAAGCAGAAGUCGUCACUGCUCUGGAGACAGUGAUGAUGUUUGCCAGGAGGCGGAAUUAAAAGAAGAAAGCCAGUCCUCUCUGGGAAAAUUUCUUUGUUUACUUACUAGAUUAUUGGUUUAUUGUAAAAGGCAAAAAGUCAGCAACAGCCAGAUGGAAGAAAUUCAUAAAAGGCAAGAUGUGGGAAAAUAGUAGCCUCAGGUAGAGGCUUCAUUACUUAGACUUGACUGAUGAAAUCAUUGGCCAUUGGUGAUUGAACACAAUCUUCAGCCUCUCUCCCCUCCCAGGAGGUUGGGGGUGCUAAAAAUUCCAACCCUCUUAAGAGAUUUUUUCCAUCUGGUUUAGGUGCUUUCCAAAAGUCCCUGUAUUAACAAACUCAGCUGUGGGUGAAAAGAACUUGUUAUGAAUAACAAAAGACAUCUUUAACACUUACCACUUAGGAACUUCCAAGGGUUUUGGGAGCUCUGGGCCAGGAACUGGGAUGUAGAACAAAUAUAUAUUUAUUAUUAAGGAAGAAUUACAAUAUCACAAGGGGUAGCUGGGUCAUCUACCUCAGGGAUGCAGCAAACUGAAAUCAUUUCAUCAUUUCUGCAGUGUCCUGAUUUCCUAAAAACUUGGCAGCAAUUUUCUUUGACCUUUGAUCUGUCAUGUCUUCUAGUUAUUUUGAAGGUACCUAAUUCCUCAUACUAGAUUUCUUUCUGCCUGGAAUUCCUAGAAAAUACCAAGAGGAGCAACCUUUUGAUUUAGAGAGGGACUCCUUCAGUAAUUUGCCUUCCUAGAAAUCCAUGUUACAGUUUGUAGUGCCAGCUAAAGAAUAUCACUCACCAUCCAGUUCUACAAGGAUUGAGUCCUUAGCCCCUGGAGCUGCUGACCUCCAACAUACCCCGAAAGCAAUUCAGGGAGGAGAUCAGGAAUGAGGCACUCUGUGCUCUGGGAAAAUUGGCAGAACAGACCUUUUGAUAAUUAAUUAGAUAUUUUCAAGAGAAAAUUUAAUGAACCCCAAUUCUUGCACCUUCCCAUACUUAGAAAAGCACUAAAACCAUUAAGUAAGAUAUCUGUUCCUCAUGACUAACAACCUUCUACCGAGACGUGUGCUUGGUUGCAUAUACCCGCUUUGCCAAAACCACAUUGAUACAGACCCCCACACACACUUACUUCCUCAGAACAAUUUCUCAGAGCUAUCUGAGAGGCUGUUUCCUGGGCUAUAGUCUUCAGUAAGACACUGAAUAAAUUUGACUCUCAGCUUUUACAGGUUAAUUUUUUGUUUUGGUGACCAUGAAGGGACUCAGAGCAGACCUCUCUUCUUCACCCUAUUAGGAUCCAGAGCCUUGGUACCAGCAGGACCCCCUGUGCUCAUCAGCCUCCAUGGAGCUUUAUAGUUCCCAGUCUUACAUUUAGUGUAUCUUGAUAUGGACUUCAUUGGAGUGAUCCUGUUCAGGAUUCUCUGUGCUUCCUGGACCCGGAUGUCUGGUUCCUUUCCCAGGUUAGGGAAGUUUUUAGCUAUUGUAUCUUUAUUUAAAUUUAUUCUCUGCUCUCUUUCUCUCUCUUCUCCUCUGGGAACCCAGUAAUGUGAAUGUUGCUAUGCUUGGUGUUGUCCUAGAAGUCUCUUGAACUUUGUUUUUUUUUUUUUUUUCCUUUUUUCUGUUCAGUUUCAGUGAUUUCCAUUACUCUUACUUCCAGUUUGCUGCUCUGUUCCUCUGUAUCAUUUAAUCUGCUAUUGAUUCCUUCCAGUGUAUUUUUAAAUUCAGUUAUUGUAUUCUUCAUCUCUAUUUGGUUCUUUUUAUUAUCUCUCUUUUAAAAACUUGUAACUUCUCACUCUGUUCAUCCAUUCUUCUCCUGAGUUCUUUGAUCAUCUUUACAAAUAUUACCUUGAAUGCUUUCCAAGUAGAUUGCCUUCUUCUGGGAUUUUCUCUAGUUUCUUUGUUUGGAACAUGUUCCUCUAUCACCUCCAGGUCUCAUAGCUUAUGAGUUGGGCUUAACAGGCUUUAUAUCCACAGCGUGGUCCCUUCUGCCACAUUUUAGCCUAGACGGCCAUUUUCACUCAGAGCAGUCGUAAAGCUCAAAAGAAGGAUGCAAGCACUGCAGGCUGAAGGACACCCCUAGCAGUAUCCAACAUCCAGGAGAGCUUUGGUGACCUCCCAAAGAAACCAGGUUGGCAGGGUGAAGAAGACCAUGACUAGGGCUUUGGGAACAGAAAGAAAGCUAGAGAGAGCUGGAGCAAAGGCUCUCUUAAAAACUCUGAUCCUAAGGGAACAAGUCUUGCUAAAAGGAAUUUGCAUUUCUCUCCCUGUCAUGUGAGAUGUAAAUGUUCUACUAGGGCUCUCAGUAACUCUUUCAUCUAGACCAUUUCCCAUUCCUGAGACUAAGAAAAAGGGGAGGGGUAAAGAGGACUUUCUAAACUCAAGUGAGUAAACUUAACUUAUUCCAACUGUUAUUUAUAAAAUGAGUGAGUUUUACAUUAUAAUACCUGAUUCAUAACUAAAUUUUGAAAUGAAACUGAGUUUUUUGUGUCUAUAUGGAUGUAUCUACGUCUGUGUGUACAUUACAGAUAUGUCUUCACCUCUGGACAGUUUUACCAAAAUUAAUUUGUUACUUAACUCUAAUUGCCGUAAAGGAAAUUAGGCAUUUAUAUAAAUUCUCAGAAAUAUAAAACAGGCAACCCAAAUGAAUUUACAGUUCAUGUGAUCUGGGAAAUAUUCAGUAUUAAAUUAGUAUUUUGGUAUAAAACUAACUUUACAUUUUUGGUUUAAUUAAUACAAACAUGUCUCUAGAGUCAUCAGCAUUAAGUAUAAUAUUUUUAUUGUACCUAGGUUUACUGGAAGUGAAAUAAGGUGUUAUUUUUCUUGCUGAUAAUCUUUGCAACAGACGUAGUAACUCAGUCUGAUGAAUUUUUUAUAAGUUAAAUGUAAAUAAGAUGAGAGCUUUUAGGUAAACUCUAGGAAUAAUUAUGUUUUAGGAAUAUCUAUUUAAAAAUAGUUUCUCCAGAUUUUUAGCAACUUAAAACUUUAGAGUUUUGUUAAAUUAAAUUAGGUGAUGUUAAGUUUAGUGAAUAAUUCCCAAAUAAAAUAUUAAUUACUGAACAUUGGCUUCCUUUUACAGGGAGACUACAGAUAUUUAUGAUCAUUAAUAUAAUUUGUGCUACACUGAGACAUUUUCUGUUAAGAGAGCACGUUUUUAGAAAUGAUAAAUAUUUAUAAGUUUGCCAAUCUAAGAAUGCUAAUGUAAAAGACAAUUCAUAAUUGCAUACUUCUUAGUCUUUACUAAAAAUUAAGGUUUAAGGAAAACAUCUUUGUAUGCAAGAAAAAAGGCAUAAGAAAUAAAAAUGCAUUUUGUUAAGGGAAAGAAGGUAAUUUUGUCCUAAAGCUGUUUAUAUCUAAACAAACAAGAAAGAAAAUAAGGGACAAAUUAAUAUGAAUAUAGAAAGUUGGAGGAGGCUUAUGAGGGAAUAAAAAAGAAUAUGAAGGAAUUCUGUGUGUGGUCAGGACUAAGAUUAGAAUAAAUUUGAGUAAAUAGAUUUUAAGUAAAAUUUAAAAUUUUACCUUUCAAUUAAAGGUUAAAUGGUACAAAACCUGAAUUUGAUUCUCUCUCUGUUAAGAGUUUUCUUGGAAUGUUGAUCUGCUUUUGAUGCAAGGUAAAGAAUUUUAUAAUCUGUUAAGUAAUCUAUUGUAAUUUUCCAUAUUUGCUUUUGAAAUCCUUUAUUGUCACUUUGGUUAAGUGAGUAAGUGUUACAUAAUGACCUGUGAUCCUAUUUUGCCAAGUUUUUUUGGUAUCUUUCCAUUUCUUUGAAUCAUUUUCAGUUUCCUUUAUCAUGUUUUAUACUUCUCAGCAUACAAGUCUUUUAACUCCUUGGUCAGGUUUAUACCUAAGUAUUUUAUUUUAUUUUUUGGUGCAAUUUUAAGAUUUUUUU